GGGAUUGCCUCAGUAACGGCGAGUGAAGCGGCAACAGCUCAAAUUUUAAAGCUGACGUCUUUGGCGUCCGCGUUGUAAUUUGGAGAGGCAUCUUCGGUUUGGGCGCCAGCCUAUGUUCCUUGGAACAGGACGUCACAGAGGGUGAGAAUCCCGUGCCUGGCUGGCUGCCCCUUUCCAUGUGAAGUGCCUUCGACGAGUCGAGUUGUUUGGGAAUGCAGCUCAAAAUGGGUGGUAAAUUUCAUCUAAAGCUAAAUAUUGGCGGGAGACCGAUAGCGCACAAGUAGAGUGAUCGAAAGAUGAAAAGCACUUUGAAAAUAGAGUUAAAAAGUACGUGAAAUUGUUGAAAGGGAAGCGCUUGAGACCAGACUCGGCCGGAGAUGAUCAGCCGUCCUUCUGGGCGGUGCACUCGUUUCCGGCCGGGCCAGCAUCGGUUGAGACGGCGGGAUAAAGGCCCGGGGAAUGUGGCUCCUUUCGGGGAGUGUUAUAGCCCCGGGCGCAAUGCCGCCAGCCUCGACCGAGGACCGCGCUUCAUUGCUAGGAUGCUGGCGUAAUGGUCUUCAGCGACCCGUCUUGAAACACGGACCAAGGAGUCUAACAUCUAUGCGAGUGUUUGGGUGUCAAACCCUUGCGCGUAAUGAAAGUGAACGGAGGUGGGAACCCCUCGCGGGGCGCACCAUCGACCGGUCCUGAUGUCUUCGGAUGGAUCUGAGUAGGAGCAUAGCUGUUGGGACCCGAAAGAUGGUGAACUAUGCCUGAAUAGGGUGAAGCCAGAGGAAACUCUGGUGGAGGCUCGCAGCGGUUCUGACGUGCAAAUCGAUCGUCAAAUUUGGGUAUAGGGGCGAAAGACUAAUCGAACCAUCUAGUAGCUGG
rnacentral:rRNA from 1 species